CAAUAUUAUUAUAGAUUUUUACUUAUUUAUUUUUAUUAAACAUUAAUCGCAUAUUAUACAUAUACAUAUAUAUGUAUAGUAUAUAUGUAUAUAUACAUAUGUAUAUAAACAAAGAAAAAUCGUUAAGAAUCCUACAAAUUUGGUGUUUGAGAUGUGGCAACGCUCGUUUUCCUCAUAAUUGUAAACAAUCUAGCCUUUGCAACGAUGAGUGUUCUAAGUGAUUUUUAAAUUAAUAAAUAUAGAGAAAAGGAAAAAGCUUAAGAAGGAGAAAAAGAAAUCGUUUAGACCAUUUGGAAAAUUCAAAUCUAUUUACCAUCACAAAUUGUGGUACCGUCACCAUCUUCUGGCGGCCAUGCAGAUAUAAUCCAGAAGCUGGAUGCCAUUGAAACCCAACUCACUGCCAUUAAAAAGUCCCUAACAGACAGAGUAGAUGCCAGAAAAGGCCGAGGUGCAGGCACAAAGCAAAUUAUUGCGCGAAUGCCGCGUCAUAGCGGCAAAGACGCAUCAUUCAAUUAGCCGCAUCACCGGUGACUUGGAGGACGAACAUUACGUGGAGCUCGCUUCGAAACUGCCUAUGUCAUCGGAAGAGCACGUGCGCUUCGUGGAAGACAAACUUUCACAAAAGGAAAGCACGGAUGCUAUGAUGCCGCUAAUAUUGAAGUCAAAGGGCGCAAAAGGCAGUGUAGACGGCGUACUGCGUGGUAUGCUUUCUGACGAUCUAAUGUACCACUACAAUUUAGAGGGGCGCAAGGAGAAGGGAUCCCUACUAAAGUUUUUAGUAGGUUUUUGAUAGAUAUAUUUCCUGACAAGGAAAAAAACACUAUCUGUGGGGAGCUCAAGAAAUUUGUGGCCUUAAGUCACAAUCGUUUUAAGCAAAAAAAGCAUAAACUUAAGGCAAAAUUAAUAUAAGUUUUCUUACUAUUACUUACAUAUAUUAGUUUUAAGUUGUAAAUAUUAGU